rnacentral:rRNA from 1 species
CCUACGGGUGGCAGCAGUGGGGAAUAUUGCACAAUGGGGGAAACCCUGAUGCAGCGACGCCGCGUGAGUGAAGAAGUAAUUCGUUACGUAAAGCUCUAUCAGCAGGGAAGAAAUACUGACCUUACGGUCAGCAGACGGUACCUGAGUAAGAAGCCCCGGCUAACUACGUGCCAGCAGCCGCGGUAAUACGUAGGGGGCAAGCGUUAUCCGGAUUUACUGGGUGUAAAGGGAGCGUAUACGGCAGUGCAAGUCUGGAGUGAAAGGCGGGGGCUCAACCCCCGGACUGCUCUGGAAACUGUACGGCUGGAGUGCAGGAGAGGUAAGUGGAAUGCCUAGUGUAGCGGUGAAAUGAGGAGAUAUUAGGAGGAACACCAGGGGCGAAGGCGGCUUACUGGACUGUAACUGACGUUGAGGCUCGAAAGCGUGGGGAGCAAACAGGAUUAGAUACCCUGGUAGUC